CACACAUACACAAAUAAAUAAAACAUGAUAAAGAAUGCCAAAUAUGUAGAAUACUUGUGUAAUAGUUUACAACAUGCUAAAGCCUGAAAAGAGAACAUAAUAAAAUAAUAUUCAUUAUAAUAUAAAUUAUAAUUAUUCAUUAAUUAAAAAAUCAAAGUAAAUAUUAAUCCAACUUUUAGUAGCACUUAAUUUUUUUUAAAUGGGACUCCAUAUUUCUGAGUUGGCCCUUCUUUGUGUAAAGUUAAUAACAUAAUUUGUCUGGUUUAGGGACCACUUGUAGGGAGAAUGGGAGGGAAUUGAACCCACAUAAUGACAGUAACUCCUAAGAAAAAUGUUAAGUGCCUUUUUUUCUUUUCUGAUAAAUGUCUUACAGAUACCUGUGGUCCCUCAAUGUUCCUCACACAAUAAUGCAAGUCAACUUGAUGGCUGGAAGUUCAUUCAUUUCACAUUUACCAUCUGAUUUAAGAAGAAGCCAGGGCAAAAGAAAUCCGAAGCCAGCAAGAUCAAAUCCAAGAAGCAAGGUUUCUCUGUAAGUGUAGUUUCAAACAAUGGCCACACUUUGCUUUUCCCAAUAAAUAAGAUCAUGUGUGAUAUU
rnacentral:lncRNA from 1 species